CCUACGGGUGGCAGCAGUGGGGAAUAUUGCACAAUGGGGGAAACCCUGAUGCAGCGACGCCGCGUGAGUGAAGAAGGAUCUCGGUAUGUAAAGCUCUUUCAGCAGGGAAGAAAAUGACGGUACCUGACUAAUAAGCCCCGGCUAAAUCCGUGCCAGCAGCCGCGGUAAUACGGAGGGUGCAAGCGUUAUCCGGAUUUACUGGGUGUAAAGGGAGCGUAGGCGGCAGCACAAGUCAGGUGUGAAAUCCUGGGGCUUAACCAUGGAACUGCUUUUGAAACUGUGAGGCUGGAGUGCAGGAGGGGUAAGUGGAAUUCGUGGUGUAGCGGUGAAAUGCGUAGAGAUCAGGAGGAACACCGGUGGCGAAGGCGGCUUACUGGACUGUAACUGACGUUGAGGCUCGAAAGCGUGGGGAGCAAACAGGAUUAGAUACCCCUGUAGUC
rnacentral:rRNA from 1 species